UCCGGUUGAUCCCGCCGGAGGCUACCGCUAUUGGAGUUCGAUUAAGCCAUGCGAGUCGAGAGUCUUAGGGACUCGGCGUACCGCUCAGUAACACGUGGGUAACCUGCCCUAUGCUGGGGAAUAACCUCGGGAAACUGAGAAUAAUGCCCCAUAGUCCACUACGCCUGGAACGGUGAGUGGAUGAAAGCUCCGGCGGCAUAGGGUGGGCCUGCGCCGUAUCAGGUUGUAGGGGGUGUAAAGUACCCUCUAGCCAUCAACGCGUACGGGUGUUGGGAGACAUUGCCCGGAGAUGGAUUCUGAGACACGAAUCCAGACCCUACGGGGUGCAGCAGGCGCGAAAACUUGGCAAUGCGAGCAAUCGUGACCAGGGAACUCCAAGUGCUUGGGGUAAGACCCAAGCUUUUCUUGACUCUUCAAAGGUCUUGGAAUAAGGGGUGGGUAAGGACGGUGCCAGCCGCCGCGGUAAUACCGGCGCCUCAAGUGGUAGUCGCUUUUAUUGGGCCUAAAACGUCCGUAGCCGGUCUGGUGCAUUCGUGGGUAAAUCAACCCGCUCAACGGGUUGAAUUCUGCGAGCACGGCCAGACUUGGGACCGGGAGAGGUGUGGGGUACUCUCGGGGUAGGGGUAAAAUCCUGUCAUCCCGAGAGGACCACCUGUUGCGAAGGCGCCACACUAGAACGGAUCCGACGGUCAGGGACGAAACCUAGGGGCACGAACCGGAUUAGAUACCCGGGUAGUCCUAGGUGUAAACGCUGUGGACUUGAUGUUGGGGGCGCUCCGAGCGCUUUCAGUGUCGAAGCGAAGGUGAUAAGUCCACUGCCUGGGGAGUACGGUCGCAAGGCUGAAACUUAAAGGAAUUGGCGGGGGAGCACUGCAACCUGAGGAUUGUGCGGUUUAAUUGGAUUCAACGCCGGG
rnacentral:rRNA from 1 species